UACAGAGGUCUCAAGCGUUGUUCGGAUUUAUUGGGCGUAAAGCGUGCGUAGGCGGCGGGGUAAGUGAGGUGUGAAAUCCCAGGGCUUAACCCUGGAACUGCACUUUAUACUGCCUUGCUCGAGGGCUGGAGAGGAGACUGGAAUUUACGGUGUAGCAGUGAAAUGCGUAGAGAUCGUAAGGAAGACCGGUGGGCGAAAGGCGGCAUCCUGGACCGGGCAUUG
rnacentral:rRNA from 1 species